GGGUGUAUGGCCUAAUGGAUAAGGCGCUUGACUUCGAAUCAAGAGAUUCGGGGAUCGAAACCCUGUACGCCCU